rnacentral:tRNA from 1 species
GCCACGGUGGUCUAGCGGAUAGAACGCUGGCCUUGUAAUCCUGGGGUCUCGGGUUCGAUUCCCGGCGGUGCCA